CAAAGCAGGAGUUCGCCUAAAUAAUCCGUGGGGGAUAAGGAAACGCCGUCCUUAAGGGGGAUCCAUGGUCACAGUUCAUCAUUAGGGAACACCAAGGCAAGAACUUAAAGCAGGAACCUGGAGGCAGAGACUGAAGCAGAAGCCAUGGAGGAAUACUGCUUACUGACUUGCUGUCCAUGGCUCACCUAUGUUACAAAGACCAGGCUCACCUGCCUAGGAAUGGCACCGCUCACAGUGGGCUCGACCCUUCUAUGCUAAUAAGCAAUCAAGAAAAUCACCCCGGAUGUGCCUACAGUCCAUUCUAAGGGAACCAUUUACUCAAAUGAAGUCCCCUCUUCCCAGGUCUGUCAAACUGAUGGCUGAAGCCAAUGACAGAAAGUUGACCACAGAUGAUUGCUGUAUUUUUUUAUUUUACACACCUCAGCUGCAUCUAUUGAGGUAACCACAUGGUUUUUCCUGUAUUCUGGGGACGGACAAUUUGUUUAAAAUACCAAUGAACGGUGGCACAUGCCUUUAAUCUCAACACUUGAGAAGCUGUGAGCAGGGAGACUGCUGAAAGUUCAAGGCCAGCCUAGGACACAUCAUGUGACCCUGUCUCAAAAUAAAACAAACAAACCAAAAAAGACUAUCAAACUGAGGUAACCCUUUUAGGGGAUAAAGGUCAUUCUGUCUUCCUAUACCAGUCUGGAAGUGUUCCCCCUGUUAGCAGUUCCUGGAAAAACAAAUAUUUACUGUCCUUGACUGUUUAGUGGUAUCUACCACUGGGACUGGGUGUAUCAUUUCUAGGAAGAGAUGCAAUCAUGCACUGA
rnacentral:lncRNA from 1 species